UCCCUGCUGGCUCAGUUGGUGAAGAGUCUGCCUGCGACGCAGAAGACCCGGGUUCGAUCCCUGGGUUGGGAA